CCCUUCACCACAUCUCAUAAAAGGAUGUAGUUGCGUCAGGUCAUAAAUGUUUGUGUGCAGAGACAAACUGUUCAACCUCUCUUCUGCUUUCAACUUCUCCCAUAUUUCUAAGGCAGACCCACCAGCAUUUGCCCUGGUGAAAGUGCAGGUCAAGCCCAGGAGGUGUUUUCAAUCAGACAGUCUGUACACAGCCAGGACUCACUUCAAGGAGCCCAGCGCACCCAGGCAGGAGAAGCCCCUGUCACCCCAGGGAGGAGCUGCCAGCUCACAACAAACAGCAGCAGGAAACUCUGCCACAACCAGGCUCUCUAAUUUCUUCUCCCCCAAAAUGCCAAAUUUGCAGGCGCAUCAGUGUGGGCAGACCACGAGUUUCGGUCUUUCCAAGGGCGACGCUUGCAGGAAACAAAAGGCGCAGAAACCGCACAUUUGGAUGGUGAUGCUGCAGAGGGAGGAGUCAUCGACACCUGGAAGCGGCACGAUGGGGAUGGGGAUGGAGGUGUCCGAGCCCUCGCUGGAGAAGAAUUCGACCUUG